UACGUAGGUGGCAAGCGAUACUCGGAAUCACUAGGCGUAAAGCGCAGGUAGGCGGUUCGGUAAGUCUUUUGUGAAAGCUCCCGGCUUAACUGGGAGAGGUCAAGGGAAACUACCGGACUAGAGUGUGGCAGAGGAAGCUGGAAUUCCCGGUGUAGCGGUGAAAUGCGCAGAUAUCAGGAGGAACACCGGUGGCGAAGGCGGGUCUCUGGGCCGAUACUGACGCUGAGGAGCGAAAGCGUGGGGAGCGAACAGG
rnacentral:rRNA from 1 species